rnacentral:tRNA from 1 species
GGGAUUAUAGUUAAACUAGGUAUAACACUUAUCUUGCACGUAAGAGAUAUGAGUUCAAUUCUCAUUGGUUCCA